UACGUAGGGGGGCUAGCGUUGUCCGGAAUCAUUGGGCGUAAAGAGCGUGUAGGCGGCUCAGUAAGUCCGCUGUGAAAAGUCCAGGGCUCAACCCUGGAAUGCCAGUGGAAACUGUUGAGCUAGAGUCCGGAAGAGGCGAGUGGAAUUCCUGGUGUAGCGGUGAAAAUGCGCAGAUAUCAGGAGGAACACCAACGGCGAAGGCAGCUCGCUGGGACGGUACUGACGCUGAGACGCGAAAGCGUGGGGAGCAAACAGG
rnacentral:rRNA from 1 species